UAGGUGCCUCCUGUGCUCCCUUUCCUUAGUACAAGCAGAGUCGAGUUUUGCCUCUACUCCCCUUUCCUUAGCGGGCUCCCUGUGUUUCUUACAGGGGAAUGUUCAACAGGUGGAGCCUACCUCUUGUUUGCUGCUUUUGGGUUUGGUCCCAAGCGAAGCCCUCAAGGCUAUGGAAUUCCUGUAGGCUGCAAACACUUCUCCCUCCCCUAGCUUGGAGCGCAGCAGGAUUCAUUUCUUCUCAUGAAGCUGGGCAAGCCACCAUAUUUCACCUCUGCUACCUAUCAUGAAAUGGCCACAAGAGCCAUUGCUUUGGUGAGACGGUGGAACAACGUGCAGAAAUGUUAUUUUCCUAAAGGGUAGUUACAUCAUCCGUGUCUCAAGGUGUUCAAAAUACUUUAGCAGUGUGAUCUUACUCAGUAGUUAAUCCACUAUAUUGAAUGGGCUUUUAAGUAGGCAUGGGAUUGCAAGCUGAAAUUAACAAGAAUUUGCUGGUCCCUCUGUUGCAUUUGAUCAUUUCAUUGCAGGCAAAAAUCAACAGUUAAAACUUCUCCCAGUUCCUGUGGUUCCAUAUCAGGAAAAGCUGCUGCUAGACUUUAGCAUCUCUGUGAUGCAGAAGCUGUAGCUGCUCCUGGAACAAUCUUCAUAUUUUUACUCUGCCCUCUGCGUAGCUCUUGGUUGUGGCCCUUGUCACUUGGUCAUUUCCACUGUGAAACCAGCACCUUUUGCCAGCUUCAGUGCCAUCCCUCCUCCAGUUACAGACCAGCUUCCACUGUGGUGUGUGAGUGGCCAACGGAAUCCCAAAAGCAGCUGUUUUUCUCUUGAUUCAGCUGCACUUGGAUUUCGUUCUCUGCUCUCCUGCCCUUCUCUCCUGGAUUUUGUUCAUUUUCUCCUCUGACUUGGGGCUGGCUUGGAGCACAAGAAAAAGGCUGUGAAACUAUACAUAGGAAGGAACGGGAUUUCCAUACAAAGUGUGAAAACUCUAUUCGCCACAAAAACGAGAGCUAGAAACCUGUUCUUUUUAAAAUGAUAGCUGAUAGCUGAAAUUUUCUAUAUGUGCCAUGAGAUUCUAAUUAAGACAAGAAUAGACUUGACUAGCUGAGUGUCUGUUCUGGGUUAAUUGGUUGAAAACAUUAUUAAAGAUAAAACGAGCAAGUAUGCAGAAGAAUAAGCACUGCUGAAAAAGAAUCAACAUGACUUCUGCUAAGCAAGUUCUUUCUCCAUAACCUUUAGUUUUCUUUUGAGUGUCAGUGAUCAGGCGCAAGGGACAGUCUACUGGACAUUAGCUCCCUAUGAGGAACAGUUGCAACAGCUGGGCUUGUUCAGCUUAGAAACAGGUGAGUAAGGAAGGACAUGACAGGUGUUUAAAGUUAUGCAUGGUGUGGGGAAGGUGAAGAGGGAGAUGUUCUUCUCCCUCUCCUAAGAUAUGAGAACCUGGGGGCAGCCCAUGGAGCCAAAUGGUGAGAGAUUUAGGACAGAGAAAAAUACUUUUCACACAACAUAUAGUUAAACUAUGGAAUUCACUGCUACAGGAAGUAGUGUUGGUCACCAAAUUGGAUGGCUUUAAAAGGGAUUGCACAAAUUCCUGGUGGAGCAGGCGGUCGUUGACUAGCGAUGUGCCGCUUCCAUUAUCGGAGGCUUUGUGCUUGUGUACACUGGUUGCUGGGGAGCUUGGGCAGGCAGCACUUGUCUACCCAUCCUGCUUGGGGGAUCCUGCAGACUGGUUUGCUGUCCUGUGGAUGGAAGGCCAGACUGGAUGGAUCAUUGUUCUGAUCCAGUAUGGCUUUGCUAGUGUUACGAUGCACAGUGGGGAGAAGCCCAACUUCACAUUUAAGUUUCUGAAAUCUUAGCACUGUUUGAGUAAGAAAGGGAUCUUGGGGUUGUGGUGAACAGCAUGAGGAAAAUGUCAGUCCAGAAGGCAACUGCUUAGGAAGGAACUGAAAAUGAAGCUGCUAAGAUCAUACUCCCUUUAUAGAAAGCUGUGGUGUGACCAUACUUAGAAUAUUGUGUAUAGUUCUGAUCUGCACACUUCAAAAAGGAUAUUGUAGGCAUGGAAAAAGCAAAGAGGGGCAACUAAAAUGAUCAAGGGGCUGAGGAACUCUUACAGCAGCUGGGAUUGUUUAGCUUAGAAAACAGAAGAUUAAGGAGAGACAUAAGGAGAGAGAGUUAUGCGCAGUGUGGAGAAAUUGGAGAGGGAGACAUUUUUCUCUCGGAUACUACUAGAAUCCAGGGUCAUCCCAUGAAGCGGACUGGAGAAUCCAUGAGAGAUGAAGGCAGGUCCCUUAUACAGUGCACAAUCAAACUGUGGAGUUUGCUGCCAGAAGAAGUAGAGAUAGCCACCAAUUUGGAUGGCUUUACAGGGGGAUUGGAGAAAUUUGGGGAGGAGAGGGCUAUCACUCCUGAGCGGUGUUGGGUUUCUGAUGUUGAAGGUGUGUGUCUGUGUGUACCUGCUGCUGGGGAACAUGGGCAGGAAAGUGCUGUUGCAACUCCUGUCCUGCUUGUAGGGUUCCUAGAGACAGCUGCUUGGCCACAGUGUGAACAGAAUGCUGAACCAGAUGGGCCUUUGCUCUGAGCCAGCCUGUGUUUUUAUGUCUGCUUCGCAAAGUGGUGGUGGUGGUGAUGAGGGUUCCUAAAAUGACUAAUUAUGUAGGCCAAGUUAAAACAGAAUAGCUGGGUAGUAAACAUGAAACAAAAGGGAGCAUAAAUAUCAAUGGUUUAGAAAUCAGCCAAGUAGUGAUCUGAGAAAUAGCCUGAAAAAUGGGGUUUGGGUCAGGUUCUUUAUGUGUUGCUAUAAUAAACAUGAAUUCAGUACCAAGGUUUGUUAUGAUGGCUGCUACCAUGUAUGGCUUUUAAAAAAUUAAAUGAAUUAAUGGAGAACUGAUCUGUCCGUGGCUCUUCAUGAGAGUGGUUAAGAAAGGAACCUUGUGUUUUGGAUCGGAAAUUCUCUGUUCACCAGAAUAACAUGGGGAGAUGGCUAUCUCUGCUAUGCUUUCUGUCUUGUGAGUUUCCAGAGAGUAUCUUACUGGUCUGUUGUUGGAGACCGAGUGCUGUACUACAUAGAUAUUCGGCAUAGUCUGGGAAACUAAUAUUCACAUUACUGAGGUACCCAUCAGAGGGGCUGUUCUUGAUGUAUUGUAGAGAGCGGGAGAGCAGUCUUGACCCUUGAAGGAGACUGGGCUUUAGGGAGGAAACAAAGUGCUUAUGUGAGCAGGCGCAGGGCAGGACAACUGGAACAGUGUUGGUAGUUCAGGACUGGGAGAACCACUUUGGGUUUUGUCAUGCUCCUUCUGCCUUCUAAAGAUAGGGGCUCAUUUCCUGGGCAGAAACCACCAGAGCUGGGGCUGCAGAUGCUGCAGUUGACAAGGACUUCCAGUCACAAAACGGAUAAGGCCAUCUGUAAGCUGCGCAGGAAGGCCCCAAUCACGCAAAAUGUACAUUAACUUCCUCUUCUGAGGACAGCAGAGGCGAGAUGGGGCUCAGCAGGAAGAGAUUUAGUGCCCAUGAGCAUUGACUGCACUAUGGGCCCCGAGAACACAUCUCCGCCUGUGUUGAAACUGCUGGGGUGGAGGGAGGCAAUUAGGCUGAGUCCAGAUUUAAGCGAGAUCAACUGUGCUGUUGAAAGUAGACUUUCCUGUCCCUCCAGCCCCUGAAAAUACUUUACAGUCAGGAGGUCUAUCAAACGGGUGAGUUGAGAUGUGCUGUGGGGAGGGGGGUCUUUUGUGAACAGAUCCUCCUUCGCCCUUCCCUCCCUCAUGCAGAAAGCAUGCCUUGGAUCCAACUCCAGCAGAUCUGGAGUGUGGUUCCCAUUAUCUCCUGGCUGGGACUAAUGGAAAUUGUGGUCUAAAAGGACAGGAUGCAGGUUGCUGUCUUAAAACGAUGCGUAUUCAGCAUGGCAGGGUGCUGGGUAAAGUGUAAGAAUGUGCAGAGCUGGUGUUUGCCAGGAGUUCUGGCCCAGGUGUGUCCACUGCAUCUCUCCAGUCCCCAAAUCCGGUACUGCUAGCCCAGGCGGGCAACAUUAUUUCCCCUUCUCCACAUUUUUAAAAAGGGCACGUGGAGGAGCAUGAUUGGAAGAUGCCUGAGGCGGGGCAGCGCUUUCUGUGGUGCUUGUUUUUCUGUACAAAAUUGCCUCUCCAGGCGGCUUUCGCUCCGGUAAGGGCAAAGAGAUGGGUGCACAUAUUUUCCUUCACAAAGGGAAAUGCAGCUGCUUUGCAGUGGGAAAGUAGCCUGCAGGGAAUGAGAUUCCCCACCACCACACGUUUCCGUUCUUAGAGGGAUGUUACAUGCAUCUGCCUCUAACCUCUGGUUUGGCAAGGUUACCAGUGGCAUCUCCUCUUCAAAUUGUAUGUACAGUACCGGCACCUGUGAGGAUUGGUAGAUGCCUGAUAAAUGGAGUUUAUGGUUGCUUGAGACUUACUAUUAAAAAUAGGCAUAUACCCCAUACUAUACCAUACCAUAAACUCUGUAUUGACUUGAUAUUAAUAUUGAAAUACAGUAAUUAAAAGCAAAUCAAGACAAAAAUAAAGACAACCUACUGCCUUCUGAGACUGUGCUUUAAUGUAGAUCGUUGAGGAAUGGACAUUAAAUUCCCCUAAGCUCACCUUUCUCAAGCCUCUUGCAUAUUCCAUCUUCUGCUUGAGGGUAAGCACUGUGCAUUUAAGCUUACUUGGGGUUGGGUGAGAACGCAAUAUUUGAAUAACAAUAGAUUCCACCGAGUAUGUUUACACGUGGUGAAUUGGUGGGUGGGAGAUAAACAUGUGGACAUACUCAUGGCAUGGUGUGCUGGCAUGGUGCCCCAAGCUUAAACUUACAUUUCCGCUGGUAAUUGAUUUUAUUUUAAUGUUUAUUUAAAGUAUUUUUUCUUUGAUUUUUUUUUUUUUUUGCCGGUUGCUUGAGAGUGCCAGUUGUUUGAGUUCCGGUUAACUGAGAGUCUAUUGUAUUUGCUGUAUUGAAAAACAGAGGGUGGAAGCAAUGUAUCCAACGGCAAAUAAAUGUGUGAAAUGCCACAGUCAUAGAGUUUGGUACUUUUAUUAGGUCAAUGCAAAGAUCACCAAAAAUGUGCAUACUUUCAAAAUCUCCAAAUCUCACCAGAAACACAGGUUAGAAGGGGAGUUGGCUGGUUGUUAGAAUGUCUUAAGAUGACCUGUAACUGCAAGGUUCUGCCAUGGUCUCAGAUUCCCAGGAGUGUUCAGACUUGACCAUGCAAUUCUGCACGCUACAACUGGGGUCAUUCCCCAGCAAUUCCACCCCUGCUUCUUGUAAUAUCUUGCCUGAGGAGGAGAUCUGGAGUUCUUGAAAGCUUUCACAUGUAUUGUUGAGUUGGCCUCAUAAAAUUAUUGAUUUUGGAGUGUCUGUCACAGGCAACAGGGCUGCCUCUGCUGGUUGCAAAACGGUGUGACGUGGCUGCUAAGUGCUGUAUCUUAAGUGAACUUAAGUGUUCUCUCUCAUGUUCUACAGCAGUGGGGUAGCCUUGGGACAGCUGCUGCUCCCAGCACCAUUGUUAGGGAAGGAGCUCCGAUAUCACUGACCGCUGUAGUCAAGGAUUUGUUGUUGCCCAAAACACCAACACUUCCUUUUCAUACUUCCUCUCUCUGGCUUACAGCAUAGAUGAUUCCUGGGAAUAGGUCUUAAGAGAGUCACUGAGAAAAGCCAAAUACUGGUUAAAGAAAUUAAAACCCAGUGCCCCAUAUUAUAUUCACCACCAGCAGCAAUUUAUUGCUGACUGCAUCUUGAUGCCUCUGGACUCUUUAGGGAUGCCAGGUCUGCAGAACCGGCUCUAAGAGUGAACUCAGGUGGUGAGUACUUGCAAAAAGGCUGCGCUGGGAAACCAGGGAGCUGUUAACCUGCUUCAAGGAACCCUCAGGUUUUCAGAUGUGCAAAACACCUGCUAAAAAUAAGGGCCCUCACCCCCAACAAACACAAACUGCUCAUUGGGGGCUGAGCAUGUGGAUAGCUGGUCGGAAAAGAGAAAUGGAAAAGUGGCCCGGCCAGAUGAGGCUCCUACUCAGAUGUGGGGAUAUUUUGUUGCAGGUUCCACUUAUUCGAACAUACUGUGGUAGAGAAGGGUUGAGAACAACUUUCAUGGUAUAGCACCCCUUCCUUGAUCAUCUCCAAAAUAAUUGCAGCUGGGCAGGAUCACUUGUUUUUUGAAGUGACCUGAGGUCGUAUGCCCAACAUUUGGCACUCGCCUGAGUGACUGGCACCACCCUGCCACCAGUUGCACUUUUGACCAGUGAGAGGCAGUGAGCUCUCCUUGUUCAGUGUAUUUCUGUCCGGAAGCUGCCUGAACCCACAUACGGCAGAGUGGAGGAGCUGCCUUUUAGUGGAAGAUCACCUAGCUUGGUCCUGCUGAACAAUCCACUGAGCCAGGGUGUGUGUGUGUGUGUGUGUGUGUGUGUGUCUUUCUCAGCCCCUGCACUGUGGGUGUUCUAAAAAGGAUGGUGCCAUGCAAGCAGGGGAUCUUCCUGAAUGGGUGACAGGCUGGACGUAGUCAAGUUGCGGAAGACAUUCCUUGCAGUGGAUCCGGGGUGAUUUUAAGGGAGUACCCUUAUGCUGAACAUGCUUCCUUAAGACAUUAUUUUCUUUUCUGUGGAAUGGAGACUAGUCACAAAAUCCUGUGCGCAACAGAAAUGAAGAGGCAAGGUGCACAAACGCACGCAGGGAGCAUUGGUACCUAAAGGCUCACCUGCCCAGGGAGGCUCCGGGAACGAGAUUGCUUUGGAAUGACACGAUCACUCCCGCUGAGCGAGCAGACACACGGCCACGGGGAUGUCGUGUCUGUCCAAAGCCCUUUCAAAGAUCCUGAUGGGUCAUGAAAUGCAACUGAAGGGCAACUAUUGGAUUAUGACCAGCCUGUUUUAAUUAAUGCAUAUAAUGCCUUGGACUAAGCUGGCAAUGCCAGUCAUGUCCCUGUUCUCAGCGUAAUCUCUUUCAUUUUGUGGUCUGUCCCAGCACAGAGUAACUGUGGAAGAGAUCAUGAAACCCCAAGGGUGGAUGCUUCCUAGAAAAUUAAUUUUAAGACCCUAAGGAAAAAGUGAAUGCUUGUGUUUCUGUUACAUUGAACCUGCUCUAAGCAGCUUGAAGGCCGUUUUGUGUCUUCAUCUGUGAUGCCUCGUAGGAAGUAUAUUUGUGAGAUGCUAUAUGAACAGUAACAGUGUGAGAGAAAAGAAAAAGCCAAAUGAAUGUCAUGUUAUUGUAGCGAUGAUACCUCUAAGCAUUAUUUGUAUUGUGCAAUUGCACUGUUUCAUUUAUAGAAUUUUACAGGAGGUCUGAGUAAAUCCCUCUUCAAAACCCUUCUGUGUUUUUCCAACAUGUCUGACUUUUUUUAACCUGGAAAAAAUAAAUUGAAGAAAAGACAGAAUAGCUGGACAAUGCCAUUGGGAGUGUUAAGAAUCCUCCGUCUGGAAGCAUCCUCAGCCAAGAUCUUUUAUCAAUAUUUAAUUAGCAUGUUAAAAUGAUAAACACAUUAAAUUAAAAAGCAACAUACUUAACACAAAUAUGCAUAAAAUAUUCAUACACGUGUCCAAGAUUUUUCCUUGUUGGCUGGGCUUACAGGCCAGAAAGGAAAUGACUGUGUAAUCUUUAUUUUUGUUUGCUAAUAAAAACUAUAUUUCUUAAAAGUAAAGAAUUGGUUCCCAGAAGUUGAGUUGGUGUGGGUGGGUAAAACCCACCUCCUCAAAUGAUCUAUGGAUCCUCCAUGUUGCCUGAAUCACAUGGGGAAACUUGUAAAUCAGCUGUCCUUGCCAAUCUAGUGUCCUUUGUGCGUGUUGGACUGCAACUCUUCCUGGCAAAUUCCUAGCCAGGAAGACCCUUUUGCUCUGAUGAUAGCAGGGAUGGGGCCGUGUCACAAGCAACAUGUGCUUUCCUUCUCAGUGGUGUGUCUCCUCUCCCUAUUGCUUUGAGGCCCUCUGGACCCAACCCCCAAGAAAAGAGUGAGAAACUAUGAAAUGGUCCCACAAAGACGAAUACGCAUCUCUCUUGGUUGGUUGCUCCCAGGGUAGCCAUGUUUGGCGCCGUGUUGGCAGGGUUGAGCAGAUCCUCCCUGCUGCAGCAUAAAAUGUGCUGGGCCAGCCCUGCCAUUAGGCAGAGUGAGGGGGCUGCCUCUGAGGGCAGAUGUUAGGGGUGAGGUGGAAAGGGGCCGCAAGAAAUGGCAAGGGGUGGGUGCCCCAUGGACUGCCCUGUACCCCCAAGCUAGCUGGCUGCCCUCUGGGGCAGUUGAAGAUGUUGCCCUAUCACCAACAUCUUGCUCUCUUGUCCCUUGCCUCAGGUGGGCCCUCGAAGUCCAGUGACUUAGGUGUCCUCUGUCACAGGUCAGUGUCUCCUUGCUGGUGGGAGUCCAGCUGGAGAUAAAUAGCCAAAUCCUUUGCCUGUUUAUUCAGAAGGAAAUACACCCUGCUAUGGUUGCUGCUUGCACAGGACUCUGACAUAAAUAGGCCUUGGCUCUCAACCCUCAACAAUAUAAUCCAGUGCCCAUGCUACUUGGUAAUUAUACCCCAGGGGAAUAAUUUUACAAUCUAACCUAUUUCAACAAUCUAACAUGAGACUAAGCCCUUCAAAUUACAAAAGGUGAGAACAUGAGCAGCUUUUCUGUCUACACCAGGUCCCAGGUGGCAUUCGCACAAUAGGCCAGGCCUGUGUGCUGCUGGUGUCAUUUUCCCAGCUAUCAUUUCCCCCCAAGGUUGGGUGCGAGUAGCUGAGUAGCUCAUUUCUCUGGGUGUGCCAGGAAGGGCGAAGGCAACCCAAGGGCUCUCCUGCUACUGCUGACAGUCAGUAGUUGGUCUGGCGUGAGCAAGAAUUCUCAGAUCACCUCUUGGCUGUGGGUGGUGCAGUGAGUGCUGGUCCCUUUUGCCCCCAGCUUCUGUCCCCUCGUUUAUCACUCCUUGAAGAAGGGGAAGCAAACGCCUGAGAGGAUGCAAAGUGCAUGCUCUGUGCUAGAUGAAACCAAGAGCGUAACACCACCAAGAAAAGCUGAAAUCUCUGACCUGUGUCAAUUCUGUAGAUUCAUUUGUGCGGCGUGGUUCCCGAGUUGGAAUGUAGUUUGCUUCUGCUAAUUCCAGGAAGGAGAAAUUCAUAGGACAGAGAUCCUCUCCCUAAACUCAGGAAAACCUACAGAAUUUCCUCUCCGUUUGGAAAUGAUCUUUUCCUUAGCAUUGCCCACAAACUUUAAAGACUAUCACUGUGUAUCUAGAGAUUAAACAUGAAAUAAAAUGAAUGAAUUUAAGCUGACAUUCUUGAGAGGCUACAUUUGGUAGUGUUCAAAUGCUUGGAUGGAACUGUGCAUGUACUUUAUGUCUCCUCUGUUUCCCCAAAAUGGGCCUUAUGGUUUAUAAAAUCCAGAUGAAAAACCAUCUAAAGGAUAGGGGUACAAGCAGUACCUUUUGAAAGAUGAAUAGAAUUUUCAGGUACAUUUUUCAUAGAAAUAGCCUAUGCUUAAAUACCUCCAGCAAAGGAGAACCCACCAGCUCCCAGGUCAAUCUAUUCCUCUCUCAAACAGUUCAUAUAAUUAGGAAGAUUGUCCUAAUAUUUAGCUGAAUUCAGCUUCUCCUCAAUUUCCACCCAUUGUUUCCAAUCCCACUCUCCAGUGAGAGCUAAUUGUUACAGGGCAGCAUCAGGCAUGGUACUAGAGAAUUUGUACAUAUUUACAGUGAGUUUGUAUAUAAUAUUAAAGGAGGUGGCACUAAAUAAAUGUUAAAAGUACUGCAAAGGGGAGGAAGCAGCUAACCAGGCAGGGCAAGUAAGGAGGUGUCACAAACAGGGCACACCACAGGCAGGCCAAAGAACCAUUUGUGAGCUUGAAGGAACCUGAUUAGCUUUUGUAAGAGCCGCUUGGGGCAGAGAGGGAAAGAAAAGGAAAAAGAAGGUUGAUAAAGGGAGAGGAGGAAGUGGUGAGUGAAGAAGACCCCCUAUGUGAGGUCUGGCAGGUAGCGAUCAAUCACGCAGCCCCUGUGAGGGGAUUGGACAUAGAUAAGCGCCUGCACAAGGCCAGGCAUGCAGCGGGCAUGCAGACCCCGCGGGGGCAUCGGGUGAAGGGUCAUGCAGACCCUGCGAGGGGCUUGGGUGAAAGAACAACGGGGUGAGAGGCCUCAAGCGCGCUCCAACACUCCUUCGGUUGAGAGGCCUCGGCCGGGCUGGCUGCGGCAGACACCGGUCAGUUCGAGCCCAAUGCCUUUGGAGAUUCGCUGAGGGACUUCUGGUUAUGGUUCAGUCUUCUGGAUACUCUGGCAAAAUCCAAGAAGUAGAGGAGGAUGACUGGAGGACGAUGCAUGUCCCAGUGCAAUUUCCGGAGACGAGGACACGCAUUUGGAUUACUGCUACGUGGGAGUCGGACAGUUCCUGAACGUUGAGGCCCCCAUGGGUGUGUGGCAGACAACUCGAUUGUUUUGUGUACAGGUUUGGUAGGUAGUAUUCCCAUGAUGACACGUCCCGGAUGUUCCUUUACAAGGAUAGGCACUAUGAUAAACAAGAGUCUGGGUGAUCUUAUUCCCAUCUGUAGUGAUGCUCAAGCAGGGUGAGUAGUCGCUCCUUUCCAUGGAUGUUAUCGCUCAUUUUGCUCGUGGCUGGGAGGCUUUCAAGAAUCGGCACCUUCCUGACCACCCCCGGGGGAGGCUCUGAAGGGUGUGGGGCUGCCCAUGGGGGUUCUCUGGCCGGAGGACUGGAGGCCCACAUGAGAGUGGGAUUGGUCCGGGGGGGGCAGCCAGUUGGGGGACGGCAGUCAAUCCUUGAAUGACAGCAUACACUAGGUGCCAGCAUACUUCCAGGGAAGUAAGGGCACGGCCAGUGCGUUGCUGGUGGAGCUGGUGUUCAAAGUGAUUACGCCUUUGGGGGGCCCAUGGCCACUCCCCUGCCCUUACGAUUGUUUCUUCUCAACACCACCUAUAAGGAUUUACUGACAGCAUCUGGGAACAAUUGCCCUGGUAAGUACCCAUGUUGAAUGCAAAGGCCACCAGGUUGACGAUUUUUCCCUGCCUAAAUUACCGCUUACAAUACGGCAUCCAUGCCCCAUGGUUCAUAAUACACAACACUGCUCCAGCUAGAACUUUUUCCAAAAUAACCGACAAUAGCAAUACCAUCAGAAACAAAAUACCCAUCCUUCCACCUCCCUGCUCAGUCAGCCAGACAAGGAAUAGUGAGUGAAGAAGAUCCCCUGGGCAAGGUCUGGCAGGUAGCGAUCCAUCACGCAGCCCCUGUGAGGGGAUUGGACGUAGAUAAGCGCCUGCACGAGGCCAGGCAUGCAGUGGACAUGCAGACCCGCGGGGGGAUCGGGUGAAGGAACAAUGGGGUGAGACUGAAUGGAAGAAAGCAACGUAUAAGGAGGGUCAGUGGGAGGACCGAGUGUGUGUCGCUUCCUGCCUGCAUGUACGGAGCUGACAUCCAGUCCAGCUGAAUAAAGAAACUGAACGAAUCUCCGCCUGACUGAACCUCACUGACGCUUGGUUUGGUGGGUCUGUGGUCACCUGGCUAGCGGGGACACCUACAAGCUGUUCCUGCCUUAUCUCAAAGGAGAUGACCUUCUGGAGCUCGCAGACCAACUUUUGGAUAGCUUGGUUCUGUCUUCCUCAGCCCAGACCCCUCCAGACAAGAAUGUGUUGCAGCUCCCAGCAUUCUCAUCCUUUGGAUAUGCUGGCUAGAAAUGUUGGGAACUGCAGUCUAAUAUAGCCUGGCAGCACCAAGUUGCUAACUCAGAGAUGGAUGUCAAAGUGGAAGAUGUCAGUCAACACAGCUUUUGAAGCAAUUUAAUCUCUUCCCUGGCAAGUGGCAAUAUGUUAAUCAGGGCCUGGUAAAGAAAUGGCUGUAGCUUCAUUCCUUGGGAAACAGAUAUAUUUACAGUUGAUUAGGAAUGAUUUACAUAUUACACUUUACAUAUCAUUGGGUUUCGUGUUGUCAAAAUAAGCUCUCUUGUCCACUAUGCUUGUAUUCUUCAUAUAGUGGCAUGUGGACCAGAAGCAAUCUCCUUUAGGACGGGGCUUGUUUGUUGCUGGGUUUGGAGGAUCAUUUUAAGUAAGUAAAUAAAUACAUAUUCCCUGUGAAAAUUAAUUUUGCAUGCAAGGUUAAAAAGAAGCAAAGCAAAGGGAAGUCCCACGUAGCCAGAACAACGCAGGAGUGAAAGAGGGAGAAAGAUGGCUGUUUAGAUCACGGAGGGCCUUCUGUGGUAUAAUCUAAUCUUCCUUCCCCUGUGUGGUUGAUAAACUGUAACUGGGGAAGAAAAAGUAGCUGUGAUCUGCAUCUCCUUCCUUUUCAAGACAAAGUUGAAAGUGAUGUGGAGCAUAAUAGACCAAGUAAUCUCUGCUACAUUUGUGAGCAGGGUUCCUUCUUUGAAAAGUCAGAAACCUCAGACUGUUUUCCUUGCAAAACUUACUUUAUUGCUCCCAAGUACAAAUCA